GUUCAAAUAGUUUAAUAUAAAAACGUGGGUUUGUGGAACUUAAGAUAUAAAAAAUUAUUUUGAAUC
rnacentral:tRNA from 1 species